UACACAAUUCUUGUCAUUUGGCACGCACCUAGCUUAGCUUAUCCAUUCAACGUGUGGCUCACAAGCGCCUCCAGCUCUGAUCUUUUUUCUUUUCGUAUUCUUGAACUCCACCAGGAAGAGGGGACCAAAUAUCAGCUCACAGACAGAGAACAAGUUGCUUCCGACAAGAGAUUGUCCUACAAUAUCUGUAUCUAUAUGCAGGUCAUCGUAUGCCGUCACAAUUACUUUGGGCUAAUCUCUACCAGUUUUGGCCUUCGGCUUUAUUUAUACAUAUCUGUUAUAUAUCAUGGAUAAUCUAAACAACUAGAUGGUCGAGGCGUUGAUCUAGAAUUAUAAUAUGCAAGAUAUGUUUGAAAUGUUUUCCUGUGAUUUGGAUAGUAGGUAGGUGUUGCCCCUUCUAUGAGUAGUUUAUUUUCCGAGGGAAGCAGGAAUUUCCAUGUCAUGGUGUCACCUACUCUUUUAUGGCUUGUAAUUUAGCAAAUUUUAGACGUAUGCUAAAAGUAGAGAGCAGAGAUGUAAUGUAGUGCAAUCUGUGCUUUAAUAAAAUCCCUUAAUUAUAUUUGAAAAA